UGUUGCUGGCUCUCUCGGGGGCAUGUGCACACCCACCAUCCUCAUCUCUCCACCUGUGCACCUCUUGUAGACCUGGAUAGACUUUCCGAGGCAACUCGGUCGGGAAGAUUGCUGCGCUCUGUGAGCCAGCUUUCUUUGCAUGUCCAGGCCUAUGUUUUUCAUAUACCCCUAUAGAAUGUAACAGAAUGUAUCAUUGGGCCUUGUGCCUAUAAACCUUAUACAACUUUCAGCAACGGAUCUCUUGGCUCUCGCAUCGAUGAAGAACGCAGCGAAAUGCGAUAAGUAAUGUGAAUUGCAGAAUUCAGUGAAUCAUCGAAUCUUUGAACGCACCUUGCGCUCCUUGGUAUUCCGAGGAGCAUGCCUGUUUGAGUGUCAUUAAAUUCUCAACCUUAUUAGCUUUUGUUGAUAAUGGAUUGGAUGUGGGGGUUUAUUUUGCUGGCUUCUUCACAGAGAUCAGCUCCCCUUAAAUGCAUUAGCUGGUGCCCCGCGUGGACCAUCUAUUGGUGUGAUAAUUAUCUACGCCGUGGAUGUCUGCAAUCAUAUGGGUUUUGCACUGCUUCUAACUGUCUGUUCAUUCGGACAAAAUACAUGACAAUUUGACCUCAAAUCAGGUAGGACUACCCGCUGAACUUAAGCAUAUCAAUAAGCGGARGAAAAGAAACUAACAAGGAUUCCCCUAGUAACUGCGAGUGAAGCGGGAAAAGCUCAAAUUUAAAAUCUGGCGGUCCUCCGGCCGUCCCGARUUUGUAAUCUAAARAAGUGUUAUCCGCGCUGGACCGUGUA
rnacentral:rRNA from 1 species